rnacentral:rRNA from 1 species
UACGUAGGUGACAAGCGUUGUCCGGAUUUACUGGGCGUAAAGAGCGCGCAGGCGGUCGACCAAGUCGGGUGUGAAAGCCCCCGGCUCAACUGGGGAGGGUCAUUCGAUACUGAUCGACUCGAAGGCAGGAGAGGGUAGUGGAAUUCCCGGUGUAGUGGUGAAAUGCGUAGAUAUCGGGAGGAACACCAGUGGCGAAGGCGACUACCUGGCCUGUUCUUGACGCUGAGGCGCGAAAGCUAGGGGAGCAAACGGG